UUUGGUGAAAUGACGUCCAGAUGUUACGACGAUGGCGUGCGUGGGGAUGAGGAGUUGUAUCCAGCCUUUAAUGAUGAAAGCAACCCUGUGUUGAAGAACAAGAAAGACUCUGCUGUUCCAUUACUGUUGGUCCUGCUGUUAGGUUAGCCACCGCAAAAACAUGCUGGACCGCGCUAGGACCCCAGAGAACCGGUUUCAAAAGAAUGUGUAAUUUCAAACUAAUCUGUUGUGUCACUAUAAUAUGCUCCAUACUAAUUGUAUACAUUACUUUUACAUUAAUGUAUUCAUUACAGUAUGCUGGUGUUUUAUUGUACCAUUGUAUACUAAACAGGAACUGAUCAAACGUGUGCCCUGUUGGAUGUUGAUUAAACUGUGACUUUACUACUUCUA